UACGUAGGGUGCAAGCGUUAAUCGGAAUUACUGGGCGUAAAGCGUGCGCAGGCGGUUCUAUAAGACAGAUGUGAAAUCCCCGGGCUCAACCUGGGAACUGCAUUUGUGACUGUAGAGCUGGAGUGCGGCAGAGGGGGAUGGGAAUUCCGCGUGUAGCAGUGAAAUGCGUAGAUAUGCGGAGGAACACCGAUGGCGAAGGCAAUCCCCUGGGCCUGCACUGACGCUCAUGCACGAAAGCGUAGGGGAGC
rnacentral:rRNA from 1 species